rnacentral:rRNA from 1 species
UACGGAGGGUGCGAGCGUUAUCCGGAAUCACUGGGCGUAAAGCGCACGUAGGCGGCCAGAUAAGUCAGUUGUGAAAGCCCCGGGCUUAACCUGGGAAUGGCAUGUGAUACUGUCUGGCUAGAGUAUGGUAGAGGGGGGUGGAAUUCCAGGUGUAGCGGUGAAAUGCGUAGAGAUCUGGAGGAACACCGGUGGCGAAGGCGGCCCCCUGGACCAAUACUGACGCUGAGGUGAGAAAGCGUGGGGAGCAAACAGG